GCCUGUGAAACGAAUCUAAGUUCUCCCUUAAUCACCCUCCAACGGAUAUCCACCCAAACCUGCAUGUAGUGGAUUAAGAGCAAUUUAAAGGGGGUACAGCUCCUUUAAAAAAGAACACAAUCUCCUCUAGCGGAUAAUUGCCACUAACCCUAACUCCGUCUGUGGGCCUUCAAGCAGCCACCAACAAAGAGUGCGUCAAAGCUCUACAUUUAAAGAUCCAAAAACAACAUGACUCCCUUACUCCUAACAGGCUAACCUAUAGUAAUAGGAGAAUUAAUGCUAAAAUAAGUAACUAGGGGUCCGCCCUCUCAAGCGCAAGCUUACAUACCUACAUUAUUAACAGAUCCCACUAAUACUCCAAUUCCAACAAGACUAAGUAUUAACAACACCCGUUAACCCGACUCAGGAGCGCCCACUAGAAAGAUUAAAAUCUGUAAAAGGAACUAGGCAAACUCAGGGCCCGACUGUUUACCAAAAACAUAGCCUUCAGCCUAUCCAAGUAUUGAAGGUGAUGCCUGCCCAGUGACACUGUUUAACGGCCGCGGUAUCCUA
rnacentral:rRNA from 1 species